AGGAUCAUUACAAAUAUCUGGGAUGUUCGUCAUAACUCCCAAGNAAACACAUUGAUGUGUACCCUUCCAUGUUGCUUCCCCAGANNAGUGGCCACUGCUGCCAGCCCAGUUCAUAAUUUGGACUUUCGGGUUGAGGUGUCUGGGGAAGGACUCAUUGUUAAACCUUUAACCAAAUUAGUUGUCUGAGAGGGCCAUCGGUCCUAAUAUUUAAAGUAUAUUAAAACUUUCAACAACGGAUCUCUUGGCUCUCGCAUCGAUGAAGAACGCAGCGAAAUGCGAUAAGUAAUGUGAAUUGCAGAAUUCAGUGAAUCAUCGAAUCUUUGAACGCACAUUGCGCCCUUUGGUAUUCCUUAGGGCAUGCCUGUUCGAGCGUCACUAAAAACAACCUCACAUAUAAUGUGGUAUUGGUAGAAGUGGGUGAUACUGAUAGUACUUUAUCCUACUCUACUGAAAUCAAUAGGUCAGAAAAGUUGACCAUGGUAACAGACUCUCAGAGUGUUUUAGAAAUACUAAACUAGUCUUAACCAGGUUGGAAUCUGAGUCACUGGACCCCCAUUUAGUCCAAACAAUAAAGGUUGACCUCGGAUCAGGUAGGGAUACCCGCUGAACUUAAGCAUAUCAAUAAGCGGAGG
rnacentral:rRNA from 1 species